rfam:Fukomys damarensis contig125230, whole genome shotgun sequence.
GCGUUGUAUGAAAGGAGAGAAGGUUAGCACUCUGCUUGACAAGGGUGGAAGAGGCCCCUGGGCCCAACAGCACGCACUGCCACCAGAACAGCUGGAAACAGCCUUGG